AUUGAACGCUGGCGGCAGGCCUAACACAUGCAAGUCGAACGAGUGGCGGACGGGUGAGUAAUGUCUGGGAAACUGCCUGAUGGAGGGGGAAAACUACUGAAAACGGUAGCUAAUACCGCAUACCACCAGAUGUCCCCAGAUGGGAUUAGCUAGUAGGGGGGGUAAGGGCCCACCUAGGCGACGAUCCCUAGCUGGUCUGAGAGGAUGACCAGCCACACUGGAACUGAGACACGGUCCAGACUCCUACGGGAGGCAGCAGUGGGGAAUAUUGCACAAUGGGCGCAAGCCUGAUGCAGCCAUGCCGCGUGUAUGAAGAAGGUCUUCGGGUUGUAAAGUACUUUCAGCGAGGAGGCGUUACUCGCAGAAGAAGCACCGGCUAACUCCGUGCCAGCAGCCGCGGUAAUAC
rnacentral:rRNA from 1 species